rfam:Trichobilharzia regenti genome assembly, scaffold: TRE_scaffold0015262
GGCCUCGUGGCGUAGCGGUUAGCACUCUGGACUCUGAAUCCAGCGACCCGAGUUCGUGUCUCGGAGAGGCCU